rnacentral:tRNA from 1 species
GCCUCCAUAGCUUAUUAUGAAUAAAGCCCCUCUUUGUAGGAGGGAGAACGUGGGUUAAAAUCCCACAGGAGGCU